rnacentral:misc_RNA from 1 species
GAUGUUGACUAAAAAAUAAAAAAUUGAUAUUAUUCUAAUAAUUUUAGAACUUACUGUAGAUAUUACGAUUUCUCGUCAUGAUACCAAUCGCAUGGCCAAACAGGACCUAAAAAAUAUUUAAACCAUUUAAGAUUGUGUAAAUAUACCUAAAUUGACCAACUGACUAAAUCACAAAUUAAAGCAACAAAAAUCCUGAGCCACCAUGGAAAACAAACCAAGGCACCUCAACAAAAGCAAAUGAUAACAGACUCAAAAUCAUGCUCGCCACCGCCUAUCAAGUACCCAGUUCUGAGAAUGGAUACUUGAGAUACAAGUCAGAGAACUACAACCUAAUACACAACUCAAAGACCAAACUAAAGCAGAAUUAAAUAAAACAGAGUCUAGAUAGCACACUCGAUGUAAAUAAAUAGCAUUCGAAACACCAGCAUCACACUGCACAGUUCACUUCCCCUUCUUCUGGGCAGCCUUGGUCACCUUGGCACCA